rnacentral:lncRNA from 1 species
GGACACUCGAAACUAAAGGUAGAUGUGAACCUAACGGUACGUCUGAAGCUUUGAUUACCACUUGAGGAGAACAAGGCUUGAUCUUCCGAAAGGUUGUGGUAACUAUCGAUUUGGUGGAAACGAGACACAAAUCAAUCCAGUUUGCUAACAACACGAUUCGAAACCCUGCAAUUCUUUUUUUUAUAUAUUUUUCUUUUACUUAGGAGCACUGAAGAAGUAACCACAAGAAAUUUGAGCUUAAACAAGUGAAGGACAUGGCCUGUGGAAUUUUUUGAAGAUUGCGAAAAAUAUGAAAAUAAUGUUUAGGAGGUGAAUACUCAAAUUUUCAGAGGCGAGUUUGGGAAUUCUAAAUUUGUCACACCCGCCUAUGGCGGGGAUAGACAAAUCCAAAAAUUUUUUUGAUCGAUUUUGAUAUAUGGAACGUCAAAAUCAGAGUUCGUAGGCGAGAGUUAUGGCUGUUUUACGAACAGACUCUGAAUUAGAGGACAAAACGGUCCGGAAGUGGGAAAAAUUUGCGGUGGUGGCUAUAAAUUGAUGGAAACAGUGGGAAGAAACACACAAAUUGGACUCUAACAAGACCUAACUAGUAACAAGAUCUCGACCAGGACACAAACUCAACACUACGGACUCUGAAACUGAAAUAUGCAAAGGCUAUGGCGCGGAUGGGUUGUAGGACAUGAAAACAAUAUAGCACUAGACUUAUGGGACGAACACAAGGACACUCGAAACUAAGGAUAGAUGUGAACCUAACGGUACGUCUGAAGCUUUGAUUAACACUUGAGGAGAACAAGUGUGGCCCGAUCUUCCGAAAGGUUCUAGUAACUAUCAAUUUGGUGGAAACGAGAUCCAAAUCAACCCAUCUUGCGAACAACGCGGUUCGAAACCCUGCAAUUCUUUUUUUUUGAUAUUUUUCUUUUACUAAGGAGCAGUCAAGAAGUAACCACAGGAAAUUUGAGCUUAAACAAGUGAAAGACUUGGCCUGUGGAAUUUUUUGAAUAUUGCAAAAAAUAUAAAAAAACUUUAGGAAGUGAAAACUCAAACUUCAGGGGCGAAUUUGGGGAUUCUAAAAUUAUCGAACCCACCUCUAGCGAAGAUAGACAGAUCCAAAAAUUUCUUCUCAUCGAUUUUGAUAUAUGGAACGUCAAUAUCUGAGUUCGUAUGCGAAAGUUAUGGCUGUUUUACGAACGAACUCCGAAUUUGAGGACAAAACGGUCCGGAAGUGGGAAAAAUUUGUGGUGGUGGCUAGAAAUUGAUGGAAACGGUGGGAAAAAACACACAAACUGGACUCUAACAAGACCAAAUCAGUAACAAGACCUCGACCAGGACACAAACUCAACACUACGGACUCUGAAACUGAAAUAUGCAAAGGUUGUGGCGCGGAUGGGUUGUAGGAAAUGAAAACAAUUUGGCACUAGACUUAUGGGACGAAGACAAGGACACUCGAAACUAAGGGUAGAUGUGAACCUAACGGUACGUAUGAAGCUUUGAUUACAACUUCAGGAGAACAAGGCCCGAUCUUCCGAAAGGUUCUGGUAACUAUCGAUUUGGUGGAAACGAGACCCAAAUCAGUCCACCUUGCGAACAACGCGGUUCGAAACCCUGCAAUUCUUUUUAUUUUUUUUGAUAUUUUUUAUUUACUUAGGAGCACUCAAGAAGUAACCACCGGAAAUUUGAGCUUAAAUAAGUUAAAGACGUGGCCUGUGGAAUUUUUUGAAGAUUGCGAAAAAUAUAAAAAAAACUUUAGGAGGUGAAAACUCAAACUUCAGGGGCGAGUUUGGGGAUUCUAAAAUUAUCGCACCCGCCUCUAGCCAAGAUAGACAGAUCCAAAAAUUUGUUCUCAUCGAUUUUGAUAUAUGGAACGUCAAAAUCGGAGUUCGUAUGCGAAAGUUAUGGCUGUUUUGCGAACGGACUCCGAAUUAGAGGACAAAACGGUCUGGAAUUGGGAAAAAUUUGUGGUGGUGGCUAGAAAUUGAUGGAAACGGUGGGAAAAAACACACAAACUAGACUCUAACAAGACCAAAUCAGUAACAAGACCUUGACCAGGACACAAACUCAACACUACGGACUCUGAAACUGAAAUAUGCAAAGGUUAUGGCGCGGAUGGGUUGCAGGACAUGAAAACAAUUUGGCACUAGACUUAUGGGACGAACACAAGGACACUCGAAACUAAAGGUAGAUGUGAACCUAACGGUACGUCUGAAGCUUUGAUUACCACUUGAGGAGAACAAGGCCUGAUCUUCUGAAAGGUUGUGGUAACUAUCGAUUUGGUGGAAACGAGACACAAAUCAAUCCAGUUUGCGAACAACACGAUUGGAAACCCAGCAAUUCUUUUUUUUUUAUGUUUUUAUUUUACUUAGGAGCACUCAAGAAGUAACCACAAGAAAUUUGAGCUUAAACAAGUGAAGGACGUGGCCUGUGGAAUUUUUUGAAGUUUGCGAAAAAUAUGAAAAUAAUGUUUAGGAGGUGAAAACUCAAAUUUUCAGAGGCGAGUUUGGGAAUUCUAAAUUUGUCGCACCCGCCUAUGGCGGGGAUAGAUAGAUCUAAAAAAUUUUCUGAUCGAUUUUGAUAUAUGGAACGUCAAAAUCGGAGUUCGUAGGCGAAAGUUAUGGCUGUUUUACGAACGGACUCUGAAUUAGAGGACAAAUCGGUCCGGAAGUGGGAAAGUUUUGCGGUGGUGGUUAUAAAUUGAUGGAAACGGUGGGAAGAAACACACAAAUUGGACUCUAACAAGACCUAACCAGUAACAAGAUCUCGACCAGGACACAAACUCAACACUACGGACUGAACUGAAAUAUGCAAAGGCUAUGGCGCGGAUGGGUUGUAGGACAUGAAAACAAUAUAGCACUAGACUUAUGGGACGAACACAAGGACACUCGAAACUAAAGAUAGAUGUGAACCUAACGGUACGUCUGAAGCUUUGAUUAACACUUGAGGAGAACAAGUGUGGCCCGAUCUUCCGAAAGGUUCUAGUAACUAUCAAUUUGGUGGAAACGAGACCCAAAUCAAUCCACCUUGCGAACAACGCGGUUCAAAACCCUGCAAUUCUUUUUAUUUUUUUUGAUAUUUUUCUUUUAUUUAGGAGCACUCAAGAAGUAACCACAGGAAAUUUGAGCUUAAACAAGUGAAAGACAUGGCCUGUGGAAUUUUUGGAAGAUUGCGAAAAAUAUAAAAAAAACUUUAGGAGGUGAAAACUCAAACUUCAGGGGCAAAUUUGGGGAUUCUAAAAUAAUCGAACCCACCUCUAGCAGAGAUAGACAGAUCCAAAAAUUUGUUCUGAUCGACUUUGAUAUAUGGAACGUCAAAAUCGGAGUUCGUAUGAGAAAGUUAUGGUUGUUUUACGAACGGACUCCGAAUUAGAGGACAAAACGGUCCGGGAGUGGGAAAAAUUUGUGGUGGUGG